rnacentral:tRNA from 1 species
AGAUGCCGGAGCGGCUAAACGGACUCGUCUCGAAAACGAGAGUAGGGGUUACUCUACCGAGGGUUCAAAUUCCCUUUCU